rnacentral:rRNA from 1 species
UAGAAUUCCACGUGUAGCGGUGAAAUGCGUAGAGAUGUGGAGGAAUACCGGUGGCGAAGGCGGCCUUCUGGACAGAUACUGACGCUGAGAUGCGAAAGCGUGGGGAGCAAACAGGAUUAGAUACCCUGGUAGUCCACGCUGUAAACGAUGUCGAUUUGGAGUUUGUUGCCUAGAGUGAUGGGCUCCGAAGCUAACGCGAUAAAUCGACCGCCUGGGGAGUACGGCCGCAAGGUUAAAACUCAAAUGAAUUGACGGGGGCCCGCACAAGCGGUGGAGCAUGUGGUUUAAUUCGAUGCAACGCGAAGAACCUUACCUGGUCUUGACAUCCACAGAAUCUUGCAGAGAUGCGAGAGUGCCUUCGGGAACUGUGAGACAGGUGCUGCAUGGCUGUCGUCAGCUCGUGUUGUGAAAUGUUGGGUUAAGUCCCGCAACGAGCGCAACCCUUAUCCUUUGUUGCCAGCGAUUCGGUCGGGAACUCAAAGGAGACUGCCGUUGAUAAAGCGGAGGAAGGUGGGGACGACGUCAAGUCAUCAUGGCCCUUACGACCAGGGCUACACACGUGCUACAAUGGCGUAUACAAAGGGAGGCGACCUCGCGAGAGCAAGCGGACCUCAUAAAGUACGUCUAAGUCCGGAUGGGAGUCUGCAACUCGACUCCAUGAAGUCGAAUCGCUAGUAUCGUGAAUCAGAAUGU